AGAGUUUGAUCCUGGCUCAGGAUGAACGCUGGCGGCGUGCUUAACACAUGCAAGUCGAACGAACCUUCGGGUUAGUGGCGGACGGGUGAGUAACGCGUGGGAAUCUGCCCUCAGGAGGGGGAUAACGGUUGGAAACGGCCGCUAAUACCCCAUAUGCCGAGAGGUGAAAUGAAUUUCGCCUGAGGAUGAGCCCGCGUCUGAUUAGCUAGUUGGUGAGGUAAUGGCUCACCAAGGCUUCGAUCAGUAGCUGGUCUGAGAGGAUGAUCAGCCACACUGGGACUGAGACACGGCCCAGACUCCUACGGGAGGCAGCAGUGGGGAAUUUUCCGCAAUGGGCGAAAGCCUGACGGAGCAACGCCGCGUGAGGGAUGAAGGCCUCUGGGCUGUAAACCUCUUUUCUCAAGGAAGAAGAUCUGACGGUACUUGAGGAAUAAGCCACGGCUAAUUCCGUGCCAGCAGCCGCGGUAAUACGGGAGUGGCAAGCGUUAUCCGGAAUUAUUGGGCGUAAAGCGUCCGCAGGCGGCCCUACAAGUCUGCUGUUAAAAAGUGGAGCUUAACUCCAUCAUGGCAGUGGAAACUGUUGGGCUUGAGUGUGGUAGGGGCAGAGGGAAUUCCCGGUGUAGCGGUGAAAUGCGUAGAUAUCGGGAAGAACACCAGUGGCGAAGGCGCUCUGCUGGGCCAUAACUGACGCUCAUGGACGAAAGCCAGGGGAGCGAAAGGGAUUAGAUACCCCUGUAGUCCUGGCCGUAAACGAUGAACACUAGGUGUCGGGGGAAUCGACCCCCUCGGUGUCGUAGCCAACGCGUUAAGUGUUCCGCCUGGGGAGUACGCACGCAAGUGUGAAACUCAAAGGAAUUGACGGGGGCCCGCACAAGCGGUGGAGUAUGUGGUUUAAUUCGAUGCAACGCGAAGAACCUUACCAGGGUUUGACAUCCUGCGAAUCUCUUGGAAACGAGAGAGUGCCUUCGGGAACGCAGUGACAGGUGGUGCAUGGCUGUCGUCAGCUCGUGUCGUGAGAUGUUGGGUUAAGUCCCGCAACGAGCGCAACCCACGUCUUUAGUUGCCAGCAUUUAGUUGGGCACUCUAGAGAGACCGCCGGUGAUAAACCGGAGGAAGGUGUGGAUGACGUCAAGUCAUCAUGCCCCUUACAUCCUGGGCUACACACGUACUACAAUGCUACGGACAAAGAGCAGCAAGUUCGCGAGGACAAGCAAAUCUCAUAAACCGUGGCUCAGUUCAGAUCGUAGGCUGCAACUCGCCUACGUGAAGGAGGAAUCGCUAGUAAUCGCAGGUCAGCAUACUGCGGUGAAUACGUUCCCGGGCCUUGUACACACCGCCCGUCACACCAUGGAAGUUGGCCACGCCCGAAGUCGUUACUCCAACCCUUGUGGAGGAGGACGCCGAAGGUGGGGCUGAUGACUGGGGUGAAGUCGUAACAAGGUAGCCGUACCGGAAGGUGCGGCUG
rnacentral:rRNA from 1 species